UCAGAACUCUAGUUUGCACAAAAGCUCCUGCCAACACUCCAUGUGAAGGAGGGUGUGUUCUGCCAACCAACCAAAAAUCUGGGCAGACGCACACAGUCCAGAGGACCAAGCACACUUCCAGUCCUGCUGUUGCAUCUCAUUCUUGGUGAA